CAAGAUGUGUUGUAUUGGAGAAAGCCAGGACUACAACUUAGCUUAUGCAGUACUUCUGUUGUCUUGGAUUAAAGAAAGCCAGGAUUCCCAAUGGAUGGUUGGCCUUCUAGAUUCUAAGAACAAAGUAUGCUCGAGAAUACAUGUUGGUGUAUUCAAUAGUUUGCUGCUUCUGUUCUGCUGCACCUUCUGCUGCUAUUGUUGUCCACUUUUACAACAAUAACACCCACAGAAGUCUCUCCUGUGAGCACGGUGGUUCGGCAAUGUCUUUAUUGAUAUUAUUAUUGUGUUUGUCUCAACAUGUCUUUUUGUAGGGCUGUGUUAAAAAUAAAAAAAUUAUAUCUUUUUCCGCACGUACGAAGUAAUGAAAUCUGUAUAGAAUAUACGGUGUACUACUAAAAGCUACCCAUUUCGGAAGUUUGUACGGUUUUGCCUCCCGUACUCUUUCACCUGUACAACUUCCCAUUGCCCACACUGGACCACAGCUGGCGGAACCCUAUAAAACCCCAAGAUCGAACUCAUUAUAUGUACGGAAAGGGAGUUCUCGAAGCCACAUGUAUGAAUAUAAAUGAAGCUCACAAUAAGAGCCCAGCAUUUCAUUUGCUUAUAUUCCCUUUUUAGUAGUGCUCAGUGCUGUUGACUUACCAGAAGACAAUGUUCUUUCACGCCUCACCAAUUGUCUUUGCAAACAAACCACAAAACCCAAUAUAACCAAUAUAAGGAUACGAUGCAAUGGAGAUAAUAUAAUGUCAUGUAACCCCGUUCUAAAAUAGGUUGUGCAUGGAAUUCCGUACCCUCGUCAGACAGCACUUCAGUAUCUCCCAGUAAACAAAGUCACAGUCCCCACUUCCGCUGCAUAGCUCGCUGCGCAUCCCAUUGCUUUGUAAGUUGCUAAUCCCUUCCCACUUUGUGUACGUGCUUUUCAUUUUCUUUUUUUCUCUUCUUCCGUGGUUGGUCUCACCCUCUCCUCAA